AUCUGUCUGUCUGUCUGUCUGUCUAUCUUUAUGUCUGUCCAUCUAUCUAUCUAUCUGUCUGUCUGUCUGUCUGUCUAUCUAUCCAUCUGUCCAUCUCUCUAUCUGUCUGUCUUUCUUUUUGUCUGUCUGUCUUUCUGUCUGUCUGUCUGUCUGUCUGUUUGUCUAAACCAGUAUCCAAAGCAGUCAAAGACCGCGAUGUGAGGACAUCAACAGGAAAUAAAAACACAAGAAGUAAAGCGCUCUCAAUGUGAAUCAAACAACUGCUCGACUGAGGAGAUGAAGAGAAAAGGGCAGCUGCACAAUCCUAAAAUGUUGAAGGUCGUCUGUCGGCUACACAACUCGGAGGCAAAUUGUAGGCAGUAUCACCAGGAGCAAAGAUUAAGUUCAACACAUCAUAAGAAGGUCACCUCAGUUUUAGUGGGAGCACUGGCUACAAACUUGGAAUUGAAGGCUUUGAUAAAAAUUACUUUGUGGCCUACAAGACAUUACCAGAGCUAACCGGUGUGGCUGCAGCACAGAGUGACCAGAGGAGGAAGAGGCUCUUGGAGUCAAACCCGGUGUACUGGCUGUGGACAAAGUGUGUUUCUGAAGGGGGAUCACCGCUAACAUGAUGUCAGAUGAAGAAGACAAUGCUGUUGAUGAAGUGUCGGGUGGAUUGUGAGACCUUCAUCAUUCUUCAGCCAGGCGCUCCGCAAUCUGUGUGCUAAGCUGCAGCUGCGACUGUGUGUGUUCGAGUUAUGCAGCGUUGCAGCAAAGUCUGCUAUCUGAAUUGCUGCCACCGCUUACCUACGACCCGAGACAGCAAAAUAAACACAUUUGAUGCCAAAUGUGAUCCCAAGAACAUAAUUUCAGGCUAUUUUUAACUUUUUGUUUGUUUAUUUUUUCUAUGCUUUAUUAAUAAAACUCUUACAUUUUAUAAA